GUGCGUAGCUCAGUUGGUAGAGCAGCGGACUCUUAAUCCGUCGGUCCAGAGUUCGAGUCUCUGCGC
rnacentral:tRNA from 1 species